rnacentral:rRNA from 1 species
GACGAACGCUGGCGGCGUGCCUAAUACAUGCAAGUCGAGCGGACCAAGAAGAGCUUGCUCUUUGAGGUUAGCGGCGGACGGGUGAGUAACACGUGGGCAACCUGCCUGUAAGCUUGGGAUAACUCCGGGAAACCGGUGCUAAUACCGAAUACAACAAAGGACCGCAUGGUCCCUUGUGAAAAGACCUUGUGUCACUUACAGAUGGGCACGCGGCGCAUUAGCUUGUCGGUGGGGUAACGGCCCACCAAGGCGACGAUGCGUAGCCGACCUGAGAGGGUGAUCGGCCACACUGGGACUGAGACACGGCCCAGACUCCUACGGGAGGCAGCAGUGGGGAAUCUUCCGCAAUGGACGAAAGUCUGACGGAGCAACGCCGCGUGAGCGAAGAAGGCCUUCGGGUCGUAAAGCUCUGUUGUCAGGGAAGAACACGUACCGGAGUAACUGCCGGUACCUUGACGGUACCUGACCAGAAAGCCACGGCUAACUACGUGCCAGCAGCCGCCGUAACAC